CAAAGGUAGCGUAAUCACUUGUCUAUUAAUUGUAGACCAGUAUGAAAGGCAAAAUGAGGGUCUAUCUGUCUCUUGUAAUAAAUCAAUUAAACUGAUCUCCUAGUAAAAAAGCUAGAAUUCUAACAUAAGACCAGAAGACCCUGUGAAGCUUAAACUAAAAUAUUAAACCACAUAAUACAUACUUUUGGUUGGGGCGACCUUGGAAAAAAAGAGAACUUCCAAACAAAUGACUAUAACUCAUACCAAACAUAGGCCCACAAGCCUUUCAUUACGACCCAGUAUAACUGAUAACUGAACAAAGUUACUCCAGGGAUAACAGCGCCAUCUUCUUCAAGAGUCCAUAUCAAAAAGAAGGUUUACGACCUCGAUGUUGGAU
rnacentral:rRNA from 1 species